CCAGCCGCCGCUCGCCGUCGCUGAGGUCGAGGCUGCGCGGCGGGAAGCCGUGCAGGAGGCGCUGCGCGGGCGCGGGCACUCCGCAUGGGCUUCCUACAUGACCAACUCCCCAACGCUGAUCGUGAUGAUCGGGCUGCCCGCGAGGGGCAAGACCUACAUGUCCAAAAAGCUCACCCGCUACCUCAACUGGAUCGGGGUGCCCACCAAAGUGUUUAAUUUAGGGGUGUAUCGGCGCGAGGCGGUGAAGUCCUACAAGUCCUACGAUUUCUUCAGGCACGACAACAAAGAGGCCAUGGAAAUCCGCAAACGCUGUGCCCUGGUGGCUCUGGAAGACGUGAAGUCUUAUCUCUUGGAGGAGUGUGGGCAAAUUGCUGUGUUUGAUGCGACCAACACGACUCGGGAGCGCCGGGACCUGAUCUUAAAUUUUGCUAAGGAAAAUGCUUUCAAGGUGUUUUUUGUGGAGUCUGUCUGUGACGAUCCAGAGGUCAUCGCUGCCAAUAUCCUGGAGGUGAAAGUUUCCAGCCCUGACUACCCGGAGAGGCACCGGGAGAAUGUGAUGGACGAUUUCCUGAAGAGGAUCGAGUGCUACAAGGUCACCUACCAGCCUCUGGACCCGGAUGCUAAUGACAAAGAUCUUUCCUUCAUUAAAGUGAUCAACGUGGGCCAGCGGUUCCUGGUUAACCGAGUCCAGGACUACAUCCAGAGUAAAAUUGUCUAUUACCUGAUGAACAUCCACGUCCAGCCACGCACCAUCUACCUCUGCCGGCACGGCGAGAGCGAGUACAACCUCCUGGGCAGGAUUGGAGGGGACUCGGGGCUGUCGGCCCGGGGCAAGCAGUUUUCCCAGGCUCUGAAGAAGUUCAUUGAGGAGCAGGAGAUCGUGGACCUGAAGGUGUGGACGAGCCAGCUGAAGAGGACAAUCCAGACAGCCGAGUCCCUGGGGGUGCUCUACGAGCAGUGGAAAAUCCUCAAUGAGAUUGAUGCUGGGGUCUGUGAAGAAAUGACCUAUGCAGAAAUUGAAGCCAAGUAUCCAGAUGAGUUUGCCAUGAGGGAUCAGGAGAAAUAUCUUUAUCGUUAUCCUGGAGGGGAGUCCUACCAGGACUUGGUGCAGCGCCUGGAGCCAGUAAUUAUGGAGCUGGAAAGGCAAGGCAAUGUCCUGGUUAUCUCCCACCAGGCAGUUAUGAGGUGCCUCCUGGCUUAUUUUCUUGACAAGAGUGCAGAUGAGCUGCCCUACCUGCGUUGCCCCCUCCACACCAUUCUCAAGCUCACACCUGUUGCCUAUGGCUGCAAGGUGGAGACAAUUUCCCUGGAUGUGGAAGCAGUGAACACCCACCGGGACAAGCCCUCCCUGAACUCACACGAGCUGCCCAGCAGGCAGAGCCCUGUGAGGAUGAGGAGGAACAGCUUUACCCUGCGGGCCAGCGCCGACACCGUAAAGCGCCCGCGGCACCACAGCCUGGGCAGCAAACCCCUCCAUCUGCUGGGGCCUCUCCCAUCCCUGGAAGCUCGAGGGCCUUUCCCAUCCCUGGAAGCUCGAGAAGGGGCUGAGCAGCCACAGCUGGAAGUCACUGCCCAGGUGGUACCUUCCCUCUGCUCCCCCUCCCCACCAUUGCCCGUGGUCCUCUCCGAAAUCCAGACCCUGCCCAGCAUCCUGAGCAGGGUUUCUGUUUCUGCAUGGAAAUCAUCCAGCCUGGAUGGGAUUAAGAAAAAAAAAAACAAACAAUUAAAAAACCCCCUCAAAACCAACCCCAAAACAUAAAAAUCCCCCCCAUCCAACUGGAAUUGUGGUGCCAGUCUUUCAGAGUCAGGCUCCACACGGGCAGGUUUCCAUCAGUGCCACGGGGUUUUGGUAGGGGGAUUAAUUCUGGGUAGGAUUUUGCUUCUGGGCUAAAAUCUGAUGGGAAAAGUUACAAAUACCCUCUUUGUCCCAGUUUUUUACUGCAGCCAAAUGCUGUCCCUGCCUUCCACCACUUCCUGCUGCGACACAAACCUGCCCUGGGCUAACAGGAAAUUCUGGGGCUGCUUCACUCCUCCCCUCAUUUGCUUUGCUGCUUUUCCUAUUUCAGUCUCCUUUAAGAUGCACUAUGAGCCCUGCUGUGCUUCUCUGUUUCCUUUGCAGCCUCCAGAGGGAAAUGCUUGCCUCUGAGUACCACUGCAAGCAGCUGGGUGUGCUCUCUUUGGGAGAAUGGCCACUUUAGCAGUGUAGGGGCUCCUGCUUUCACCUUGCACCCAGCUGGGAAUUCCAGGGCCAGGAGGAGCCGGGAGUGGAGCAUCCCUGGGGCACCGUGAGCCACCCUGGCCAGUACUCGCCUUGAACUGGGAUUUUAGAGCCUGUCUGUGUCUUUUCUUUCCAAAUGUUGCAACGUCUGUCCACGGGGCUGGAGAAGAUUUCUUCUGGAGAUUUUUCCAAGCUGCUUUUAACGCUCAUAAGCCAGCACAUCCCCGGGUGUUGAAAUAGUGUUCCACGUCUUUCCUUCUGGCCAGGUGCCAAAAUUAACCACAGUGGGAGGACAAAAUAAUCAUGUUUCUACUCGCUGAGGAAGCUUUUCUUUGGAAGAGGCAUUUCCAGGCCAAAUCCCCACGGUUUUAUUUCUCCAUUUCCAAGUUGUUUCCAAGUUCAAACUCAAUUUUUUCUGCUGUUCAGCCAUCCAGGGAGCUCCAGGUAGGGUUUGAUUUUCCCUCCUUGAGUGCUGGUGGGAAUCCCCCAGUCUGAGCCAGUUCUUUUGCCCUGGGAAGGCUUUUGCUUGGAUGUGACACUCAGGUCAGCACAUCCAUCCCACAGGCUGCCUCCUGUGAGGGACAGAUGGGAAUAAACCCUCCUGCCCCUCUCUGGAAGCAGUACAGCUCCCAGUGCUUUAAAUCCCACCUCAAGCCCUAUUUUAGCUUCUCCUCCCUACCUAAACUCCAUCCUUUCACUCAUUUUUCCUGCAUUUUGGAGGUGUUUUGUCCAUUUACCCCAGAAAAUGGGAGCAUGGCUGGGGCCAGCAGAGCUCCUGGGCAGGGUUUGCAGGAAGCACAAGGUUUUUACUAGUUUUCUUUAUUUUACACCAAAUUUUAGACCCACAACAAGCUUUUAACUUGCCUAUGAAUAAGCUGUGAAUGUUCCCAAUGCUGCCUUUCAUAGUUUUAAGCUGUUGUAGAGUUUGGAGCACAGGUGGUGCAGCUCUGUGUGGCCGUGUUUUAACUUAAAUCCUUUCCUUAAAUCCCCACCAAACCCCAAAUUUUCAGUUCUCUCCCACCAGUCUUGACUUGCAUUUUGCCAAACUCCAUUUUACCCCACUCCAGCUGUUCUUGCAAUAAGGGCAGGACCCUCAGGUUGGGUGAAAAAAGGAACAUUUGGGUACAGGGCAGGAGGCUGUUCUGGGCCUGCCGUUCCCAGGUGACUCCAGGAUUUAUCUGAGCAUUUCUGGACCCAGAAGUUGCUUAUUUUAAAUGUGUAAAUAAAUGUUGUAUAUACCCACAGCAGGGAAAAUGUGCCCUGGCUGUGCAGGAGCUCAGCAACCCCAGAGCCUGAGGCUUAACCUGGGCAUUUUGAGCUCAAACUUGGUUGUUUUAAACACUCCCAGAGCUGUAAUUUGAUAAAACUGGGAUAGAGAGGACCAAGGCACUAAUCUGGACCCCUCAGGAUUUCUGAGGAGCAGAAAAAUGUGUUGAUCUAAAGGGAUUGUGCCACAGAGGGGUGAGAGGUUUUAUUCGUUUUUCUCCUCAGGGUUCCCCCCCACCCCCGCCACGUCUGGUUUUGGGUUUUAAGUGUUGUUGUGCUUAGAAAUAAACCAGAAAAUCAACAAAAAAAAAAUGUUGAAGGAAGAGAUUUAGAGCCUGGCCAUGGCAGUCCUCACUGUCACUCCAAAAUGCUCUGAACGCACAACCCCGUCCUUGUCAGGCCAGCUCUGACCAAACCCCUCCUGCUCUGUGGAACAAGGAGUGGAAAAUGUACUGUAGGAUAUUUACGCACAAAAAUGCUGGGAAAACUGGCUGAAGAGUUCAUUAUGUUCAUGUCACUGAGCAGUAAAUGAUUGUAAGAAGACAGAAAUCUAUAUUUUUACCUGCUGGGAUUUGUGAAUGUCGCUGUCGAUGUGUUGGUGGUCGUGACUUUUUUUUAAUCCCUGCUGAAAAUCAGGUGCUUUGCAGUUUGGGUCAGUGGCUGGGAGUCCCUUUUUGGGCUGUGGGAUGGAAUUUCAUCCUUCUCUGCAGCGUUUGUGCCUCAGUGCUUUAAUUCAAGCUUUUUCCUCCUGCAUUUUAGCCUUGAAAAGGUCGAAAGCAAACAUGUCUGGAGCAGAGCAGCAGCAGAUUUGGGAGCAGAUCGUUGCCCUGAGGGUCCUGCUGAGCCCUCGGGGCUGCAGGGCUGGGGUGAUGCCAGUGGGCAUCUCCUGGCAGCUCCCUGUGCCAGGGAUUUCCUUGAAACCACCUGAUUUCCUUGGCACUGGGCGUGCAAACACCCCAGAACAAACAAAGGUUGCACAACGGGGUUUUGAGAUGUUUUUGGUGGAACAGCUCAGCAGCAGCUCGUGCUGUCAGUGGGAUUAGUGCCGUGGGCUGGGCAGGUGGAGGUGGGUUUGGAGGUGGGUUUGGGGGUGGUUUGGAGGUGUGGAUGUGAGCCUGGCACCUUCCUGAGCAUUUCCUCAGGACUGGGGGGGUUCUGUGACCCCCUGACUUUCUGUGCCUCUGUUUCAAGCAGCACGGGUGGUGCUGGCUGCUGUCACCUUCAGUGACACCUGCCUGCCCCUCUGCCUGCCCUCGCCCAGUUUUUGGGCUGAAAACUGCUUCAUCUCCAGGAAAACCUGAAAAAUGAGGGAAAAGAAUUAAACCCAGCCUGACUGGCUGCUCUGUGUACACUGGCUGUGACCUCAGAGCUGUCACCUCUGCCAGGUGUCCCCUUCCUGGCAGCUGGGCUGGGUGCCAGUUAAACCCAACCCAGCCUGGCCUGGCUGCCAAGGGGCUGAGGAGCAGCUGAGGGAGGAGAGGGACCAGCACCAGCCUGGCCAGAGCCAGCAGCCCUGGGGGUGUCCCCAGCCUCACCCCGUGCCCCUCUGAGGGUCUCUGGGUGAGCAGUGCCAGUGCCACCCUGCUCUGUCCCCACACUGUCCCCCUGCUCUGCUUGCACUGCAGCUCUGGCUGGAGUGUUUGGUGAGAGGGAUCUUGCCCAGCUGCUUCUAAACUUUCCUACUCUGCUGCCUUCUAAGUGUUUUGGCUUUUUUUUAGGUUUAAAAUGCUGCAGUGUCUGUCAGCUCGUGCUGUGUGUUGUGUGCUCUGUGCGCUUGAGCAUAAAUAUCUGUCAGUGUUUAUUUACAAUAAAGAGACUUUAAAAACCA